GGGGUAUUAGUAAAUUAAUUACACAGCCUUGUCAAGACUGAGUCACAGAUGAAAACCCUGUAUACCCUA
rnacentral:tRNA from 1 species